GGAACUUAAGAGAGCUUAACGGGAGGAUCACUCAUCUUGGAAACAACAAUCUAGAAUGUCCUGGUUCUGAAAGUGGAUCAGUUAGGUUUCUUUCAUGCUACAUGAAUGGGCUUUUAUGCAGAGACAACAGAUUUCCAGUACACAAGACAGGAUUCAUGCUGCUUCCUUUUUUCCACUGUCCCAGGAAAAGAGCUAUGACGAUGGCCACUCGCGGGAAUUAAGUGAGGAACUCUGGCCUUUGUUGGGUUGAAAAUUCUCAUGAACUCAGACAAGGAAAGGCAAGCAAAAGCAAUAUGCAAGCAUCCUCCAGUGAAAACACCAGGUUUCCCGGGAUCUGGCUGAGGUCUGAGUGAAGCAUGGCCCCACAGGGUCAGGAGAGAGCAAGAAUAUUGAUCACGCCUCAUGUUCCCUGUCCACAGUCUGCGGG
rnacentral:lncRNA from 1 species